GCGUGAGCGUGCUAAGGUAGCGUAUUAUUAGCCUUUUAAUUGGAGGCCAGUGAAUGGCAAGACUAGGAAUAGCUGUACUUUGUGUAUGAAAAAGAAAUUUUCGUCUAAGUGAAAAGACUUAGAUAACAAAGGAAGACGAAAAGACCCCGCGGAACUUUACCUUUUCUUAAACUUCUGUCUACAAACCUUAAAGUUUAAUAGGUUUGAUUGGGGCAAUCUUGGAACCAACUAAACCUUCCAAUUUUUUAAAAAAACCACUACUAAAAACUGUUUGAGGACUAAAAAGUAGUUACCCCGGGGAUAACAGCGUACUCCAACUUAAGAGUACCCAUCGAAAGUUGGGUUUGCGACCUCGAUGUUGGCUUAAGGACUAUCCCCAUAAGUGCAACCGCUAUGAUAGGAUAGUCUGUUCGACUAUUCAUCACCCUUCACACGAGCUGAGUUAAGACCGGCGCAAGCUAGGUUGGUUCCUAUCUCCUUUAUAUAAAAAUUUCUUGAUGUACGAAGGAC
rnacentral:rRNA from 1 species